CCAUGUUUAUAGUACAUAUUUUAGCUGUCACUUUGUCAUGCCAUUCAGAGAACUCUCAUCAUUCAGGACUGAUGGCUAAAAGGGGAUAGCUGUUGGGGUGCGCGGUUGACCGAAUGAAAUUUACGGUUUCGUGAAUAUGAAAGGCUCGUGUUACUCUUGCCCCAGGACCACAUGUAUCUGCGAGGUAACUUCAUGACUGGACAAGUAAGCCCUGAGUUAUUGCUGCACUUGUUCCCGUAAUGGCUCAACGGAGUUGGUAUUUUUGGGAUAAAUCGUGUUGAGAUGAAGUUUCAAAUCAGUCCGCAAGAUGCUCCGAGUGGAGUUAUCAACGGUUUUAAUCAUUCAAGUGGAUUUGUCAACCGGAUGAAGCCAAUAAUUAUUCUUUACCUCGGCAUCAGAGAUGGAACGCUCAGCAAGAUGUCUUACUUUACAAUGUAAGAAUGCUGUACCACCCAGUUGAACAGUGACAUUUGAG